GAAAAGAGAGAAAAAAAAAAACCUAAUUUGAUCUUGAAAGAUAAGGAUCAUUUGCAUUAUUAUCCAUGUUCUACAACUUACAAGGUUGCAGAAAAGCUCAAAGAAGAUGAAAGAUGGAGAUUAUCCCAAUGGACUACACGGAUUUCCUCACCUUAGUAAAAGCCCCUCAUGGGCCUCCUCUCACAGAGAAGGGAAUGGAGAUGCCCAGGCUGUCUGGAAUGACUUGCUCAAUGUCAUUGAACGUGUGGUGGCCGAGUCAAAUUUAAAGGGAAAGCUGCUGCUGACGGGGUCUGUCCUCCAACCAGCAGCCUGGGUCGGAAGCAUCUAGAGGGUGACUUGUGAAGGAGGUUUGUGCGGUCAAAACACCCUGGAGAGCAGUGGUGGGUCUGCGGAGCCAUCCUGGGACUGGUCGGCAGGAAAGAGCACACAGAAUGGCCCACUUCCAACCAAAGCCGGGAUUCCACUUUCCCACCAGCUCUGAAUUCACCUCUUGCAGGUGCACUGGCGUCACCUCGCAGCCUGCGGGUCGGUCCUCUCAGAUGACCUCUGAUUGCUGCACUGGGCACUGGACCUACAAGAAAGAAGCAAAGGAGGCCAAGAAGAGGAAGAGGCGGGUGCUGCCAGCACCCAGUUGCCGCCGAAGGCACUUGCUCUGUUGUGAGCCCAGUACCGGGCGAUGCAUCGGUCCCUUCCGUCCCAAGCGCCAUGCCUGCCCGGGUCAGUCAGCUCUGGGUUCCCGACUCUUCCACAUCUCAUCUCCCACCCACGUGAAGUCUGUGUUGUCCCGGAGUCAGGGAGCAAGGGCCUUCCCUAUUUCUUGCUUGUAAUCCCAGUUGAACUCCUGACUUCUGAUACUGAUUCUCCUCAGUAGGUUUGCCCCCUUGGAGGCCAGAAAGUCUCCUCCUCCUGCUCUUUGCCCCACUGCUGGCCAUUUCUGGGUGCACGUUGUCAUGCACAGUGUGCAACGGGAGCGGUUUCUUUGCUCCUUCUUGAUUCUCGUGCUCUCUCUUCCUUCUUUUUAAAACAUUUAGCUGCACUCAGAGUUUUCCGAGCAGCACUGAGACAACCCAUGUCCCCUUGCUCCCAAUGACAGUCUCAUGGAUCUGUCAUAAUGCAUCCCUCACAGCGUCUAGCACCGGCCAGACACUUAGUGAAGUUGACCCGCAUGUCUGAAAUGGGACGUUGCUGAAAUGGUAACGGAGCACUGUGUGGGGUUUAUACGCUGGAGGGCUUUAUGUCAGAGCAGGGUUUCUCAAACUCGGCGCUAAUGACAUUUGGGGCCAGGUAAUUCUUUUGUUGUGCGGCUCUCUCUCCUGUGCAUUGCAGGAUUUUUAGCAGCAUCUCUGGGGUCUACCUCCCCCAAGUUAGUUGUCCUCCCAGAUAACCAAAACUAUCUUCUCCAGGCACCGCCAAAUGUCCCCUGGGGGCAAAAUGCUCACUGCCCAGAACCCUGCAUGAGGCUUCUACCCCCACUUUCCUCUGAUGGACUUCUAAAUGCUAGAAGGUGCAGGUCUGCUCUCUGGGGCCGUCCAGCGAUUUGAAGGACACCCUAAUUUAUUUGAGAGAUUGACGCUCAGCUGCUGAAUAUGCCAGAGGGGAGUGAAGUGGUCUCAUAAAGAGGCUUUCUCAUAAAGACUUCUGAUGAAUCCUCCUGUUUCCUGCCGGCUCAGUCUGUCGAGCCUGGGUCCUAACUUCUGAGCAUCCCCUUUCAGUCGUGUCCUCCCCCCUCGCUCCCCUCCCUCACCACCCGCCUUCAGUGCUCUGGGCAGCUGCUUCCUCCAUAAUUCCUCAGUAUCCCUUCUAUA